GCCCCCUGAAGAAGUUCGAAGGCUGGAAGCCCCGACUUCACCACGCAGAUCCAGUGGAGAAACGGGUCAGCGGCAGAGAACCAUAAAACGAUCCACGGAUUUACACGCUCGCGCUGGAGGGAGACCAUCUAUUUUCCACCAAGACGCAAGGCUCGAAGAUAUUCUGAGCUGGGAUUAAUCUCAUCUCGCAGCUU